CCGGCGCUGGGCGCCUGCCCUCAGCCGCCUCCCCGAACCGCAAGCAGUUCGCCGCCGCGGGAUAGGCAGCGGGCGCUGGGGCGGUGGCACGGGGCGGGCCUGGGGCUCCGCACUCCCUCACGGACUUCGAGCGUGUGUUACCCGGCUGGGUUUGUUGUGGAGGGUGCUGGCGUGGGUCCCUCGCCGUCCGGCGGCGACUGUAAAUAGAGCCUGGAUGUUGUUUACAUGAAGGAUCCGGCGGGAGGAGUCUGCGAGGAGGAGGCGGAGGAGGAGGGAGGGAGGAGAGAGGAAGAGCGGAGUCCCCGCGGCGGCGGCGGUCCGGGGUGAGGGGGAGCCCCGCGCGGCGUCCGGGGACCGGGAGCUACCACGAGGCCGGGACGCUGGACCCUGGGAAGGGGGAAGGGACUUGGCGGAGAUCGCCUGCUCCUGGUCGCAGCUGAACCCGCGGCUUCUUCCUGCCUUCCCGGGCCAAGGAAUCUUUUCACUCACUCAGCCACCCGCGCGCGAGCUGCCACCUUCUUGGAGAAGGACCACACCUGUGCUUAUUCUCGCUUUGGAGGAGAGGCACAUCCAUCCCGGAUCCAGGCAAGUUGUGGUCUACAGAUGUGCUGGGAUUUUCUCUUCCCUCUGGACCUGCACCCUGCCAACCAGCAACUAACUGCUGGAUUUAGAUUGAGAGAGGUGAUCUCUUUAGGUCAGUGCCGUUAUUUGUUCCUUACCAGGUAUUCUAAUGGAAUUGUCUGCUGUCUCCUGACAGCCCCCUUUUUUUCUUUCCCUAAGAGCUUAGCCCAGAACCCGGCCUAAAGCAGCCUGUCUCUGGCUCUCUUUUCCUGGGCCCCACCCUGGCCCCUCUUGGUUCUACAGAGCCAAACACGUCUCCCAAGCAGAAGACACACCCAGCCCCAAAUCCAACCAUUCCAAAAGGGAGGAGAAAACAGUGGACCCAAGGGUCCCCUUUCUGUCCUUAAUAUCCCCAACAGCAUUUUCCUCUUCAAACCUAGAUUUAUAAUCCCUUGAUUCUUCUCACCAGCUGUCCUUCUUACCUUUUUGUCCAUAGACCUUUGAUAGAUAUUUGGGAAGGUGGGGACGAAGAGUGGAGAAGGAGGUUGUCACCUUUCUUCCCUAGAGUGAGGCAUUUUCCAUCUUCUCAGUCUUUGCGUUUUUGAGUAAAAUACGUUUGCAUGCUUAUUUGAACUUGUUUUCUUGCUGGUUAAAUAAUAGCUGGGACUCACAAGGAAGGGAAGGGAAAGGAAAGAGAUGAAAAAUGAACAUCACCCCCCUCUCGGGUUCCACCAUAUGAGCAUCCCCAGAGUUGCUGAAGACCCUUCUGUAAAAGCCAACAGCCUGUCUUUCAUGACAUCACCACCUAAACCUUUCCAACUUUAGCUUCAGAACAGGAAGAACGCUCAAAAUAGAACUAUCUUAGGAAUCCAGCUCCUUUAGAAGAUCAACUUUUAAAUCAGCUGCAGGAGAAACACUGAACUUUGACAUAGGGAAAACUGAAGUGUUUGUUAUUGGUUCCUUUGGGGAGGAGUAGAGGGGAUACUUUCCAUGCAUGUUCAGAAAAGCUUUUCUCAAGGUAACUUGGGUACCUAGACCAAUGAAUGAUUAAUAGGAUGGUUGGGGAUUCAUUUAUUGAAUUAUUCAUAUGUUUCGGUAUGUCAACAAUAACCAGCAUUUUUCAGAAUGAAGAGGGGCUCCUGGAAUCUGCUCUAAAGAGUAUAAAGGAGGUUGUGGAGGGAGGCUGGGAGGGAGCGCUUGAGGAAGGUGAAGAAUCAGGAUGCAGGGACAGCUGCUGUGAGUGUGAAGUUCAGAGGCUCAUCAUAAACAAUGUGGGUAAGUUUUGCGGGGUGACUAAGAUCCUGGACAAAGAAGUAACGAUGUCAGGAUUUUCCACCUUUACUUUGGAACCGAACUGCGUAUCUGAAUUUCAGUGUCUCCAUUCUUUUCUUGAGUUGAGGUGUACCUUUCUCUCUGAGCAAAAAGCAUUGUUCAGUCUCUGGGAAGGGCUGCUUAAUUAGUGAUCAUCACUAAAGUAUUGACAACUUAAGGAUUAGCAGUGGGGCAGAAAAUACUUGGCAUCAUUUGUGCACCUGGUGGGUGUUGUAGAAGGACUUGCUGGUUGAAGAGGGUAAUAUCUUUCAGUCUGGUUCAGGUUUAAAAGAAUCCAGGUGACAGGAUUGUCUGUAACCUCAUUAAUACGGUAGCCUACGUGUUGCUGUCAAGCACCUGAAAUCUGGCUACGAUAAUGAGCUGAAUUUCAAAUUUUAGUAAAUUCUUAAAAUUGAUAUUUGAUGCAGUUAUUGGAAAACUUAAAUAUGUUUGGAAACAAUUUGGACAUAUGCAUCUACUUUUUAAACUGUAAAACGGGUGAAAUCUAAAUAUAGGUUAAGUAUUUCUGAUGAAAAUCUAGAGUUUGAAUUGAGUGAGAUGUGUUGUAAGUAUAAAUUAUACCCCAGUUUUCAAAGAUUUGGUAUAAAGAAAGUAAAAUAUCCCGAGUUAUUUUUAUAUUGAUUACAUGUUCAGAUGAUACUAUUUUAGGUAUAUGGACCUAAAUGAAAAUAUGUUAAGGUUGAUUUAAUCUGUUUUAAAUUUCUUUUUAAAUAUGGCUGCUAAAGUAUUUAAAAACAUAUGCAUGGCUUGCAUUUUACUUCUCUUGGACAGCACUGGCCUGUAACAUCGCUCCUUUUGGUCGAUGGAUUAAUUUCAGAAGAGGUGACUGUGUAAAAUCUCUGCUUUCCUUUGCUGUUUUUCAUGUGGAAGUUUGGGGAUCCCAAGAGUCAUUAUUUUAGAACAUGAGACCUAAUAGUGAAUGCUUUGCAUAUUUCUCUGUGAGAGGCAUGCCGUACUCAGGAAGGUCGAUAAAAGUUUGUAGGGAACUAGAAAGGUUAGUAGGGGUGUCAUGGGAAAACUUAAGAUACCCACACAUCUAGCUGUAGCUGCUUUUGUAAAAGGCUCCUGGGCAUGCCAAGCUCUAUCAGAGAACAGUAGGUGACACAGUAACUAUUGUGACACCUGGUGGCAUAUUAGUGAUACCACUCAUGUUUGUUUUCUCUUACUCCAUUUACUUUCUCUUCUCCACCCCCCCAUGCCCCCACCCCCACAUCAUAGCUCCACUGGUGGUAAUUGGGCCCCCAAGGCUGCUGACCCCUUGUCUCCAAAAAAAAAAAAAAGGAAAUGCUGACCUGAAUGGAGAUAGUGCCAUCUUUGGGGUUUGGUUUUGUCUAAUGAGAUUGACUAAUGGCACUGGAAGGGACUUAGGGGUCAUUUAAAUACAAUAUCCUCAUUUUAUAGAUGACAGACUGUCAUAUAUGUUGCUUAAGACCAAACAGACAGAGGCUGGAAUUAAACGUACACUUUGGUUGAUAACCUAUUUAGAGAAGCCAUAGGAAAUGACAAGGUUUGUCAGUUAAUCAAAUACCUGUUGAGCUUGCACGUUGUGGAAAGGACUGUGAUUAGUGAGGUGAAGUGCCGUGAAGAAAACAGUCUCUGACUUUAGGAACAAUACUGCUGAUUUGAAGAAGUAAUUAUUAGCAGUGUCAAAUUACAGUACAGUACAGGCAUACCUUGUUUUAUGGUGCUUCACAAAUAUGGUGGUUUUUGUUUUUGUGUGUUUUUUUUACACAUUGAAGGUUUGUGGCAACUUUGUGUUGGGCAAGUCCAUUGGCACCAUUUUUCCAACAGCAUUUGCUCACUUUGUGUCUUUGUGUCACUUUUUGGUAAUUCUCAGAAUACUUCAAACUUUUCAUUAUUAUACUUGUUUUGGUGAUCUGUAGUCAGUGAAUAUGAUUUGCUAAAAGCUCAGAUGAUAAGCAUUUUUUGGGUAAGGUAUUUUUUUUAAAGAUUUUAUUUUUUUAAUUAAAGUAUGUACAUUGUUUCUUUUUUGAGAGAGAGAGCCUGGGC